GGCGGACGGGUGAGUAAUACUUAGGAAUCUGCCCAUUAGUGGGGGACAACUCGGGGAAACUCGAGCUAAUACCGCAUACGCCCUACGGGGGAAAGCGGAGGACCUUUCGGGGCUUCGCGCUAAUGGAUGAGCCUAAGUCGGAUUAGCUUGUUGGUGAGGUAAAGGCUCACCAAGGCGACGAUCCGUAGCUGGUCUGAGAGGACGAUCAGCCACACUGGGACUGAGACACGGCCCAG
rnacentral:rRNA from 1 species